AGUUGAUCCAAUACCCUCUUCGGGCCUUCUCAGGGGAUCCAAGUUCCAUCCCCAGCAUCCACUUCUGGCUGUGAAGUAGAGCACAUGACUGACUUGAAGCUUCUAGCAACCUACAUGCAUGUAACAUACAGACACACACACGCACACACACAAAUCACACAAUAAUAAAUAUAUUUUUUGAAAGAA